GAUGAACGCUGGCGGCGUGCCUAAUACAUGCAAGUCGAGCGAACGGACGAGAAGCUUGCUUCUCUGAUGUUAGCGGCGGACGGGUGAGUAACACGUGGAUAACCUACCUAUAAGACUGGGAUAACUUCGGGAAACCGGAGCUAAUACCGGAUAAUAUUUUGAACCGCAUGGUUCAAAAGUGAAAGACGGUCUUGCUGUCACUUAUAGAUGGAUCCGCGCUGCAUUAGCUAGUUGGUAAGGUAACGGCUUACCAAGGCAACGAUGCAUAGCCGACCUGAGAGGGUGUUCGGCCACACUGGAACUGAGACACGGUCCAGACUCCUACGGGAGGCAGCAGUAGGGAAUCUUCCGCAAUGGGCGAAAGCCUGACGGAGCAACGCCGCGUGAGUGAUGAAGGUCUUCGGAUCGUAAAACUCUGUUAUUAGGGAAGAACAUAUGUGUAAGUAACUGUGCACAUCUGGACGGUACCUAAUCAGAAAGCCACGGCUAACUACGU
rnacentral:rRNA from 1 species